GUGGGCGCGCGCAGCAAAGUGAGGUCGUUCCGGUUUUGGCACAGAUAUACAGUAGAGCGCGGGAAAUGAGGAUUCCUGUGGCAUAGUUUUUGGAAGAGUGUGUUUUUUUUUGUUUUUCGGUUUCGCGGCUAGGAUUAUGGAGGACGAACUGAAUACCUGUAGCAGCAGAACUAGCAGCGGCAGCUCGAGCUCAAGCACGAGUUCCACCAGCGGUGAUAGUGAUAAAUGUUCCGAGUCCAGCAGUAGUAGCGGUUCCAGCAGUUCGAGCGAAAAGGAUAUUGAAAGUGAAACUGACAAGGAUAAUGAAGGCAACGGGGCGUCGACGGCGGCGUUGGUGGUGGGCAACAUUGUAAGGAACGGGGCUACGAAAGGGAAAUCUGGAACGGCCAGCAGUAGCAGUGGAAAUGAGGACGACAAGGAGGUCAAACCGGCGCUGGCGUUGAAAAUCAUCGAGGGGAAUGUAGGUCCGCUGACGGCGACGGUGAAAUUCAUCAACCCGUUCAAGAAUAACUGGAUCAACGCGGACCGGCUCAACGAGCUGCGCAAGAAGGUUCAGGAUGCGUCCAAGCACCACCGGGUCUUUCUGCUCCGGGGGUCCUUUCACACGGUACGACGUGCCCUCACCGAGCGCGGGUGGGUCGAAAAGUUGGACGGCUUCCGGGCGAGACCCCAGGCCAGUACCUCGUCCUCUGGGUUUAUCCUCGAAGAUCUGGUCCAACAGCUACCGGAACGGAAGCCCGGCGAGUCGCGAAAAAAUCACAUCGCCAAAUGCGAACGAAGUAUCAUGUCCCGAUUCCUCGAGCAUACCCCCAUCGAUCUGCUUUGGACGGCCCGUCGGGAGAAGACCGACUGGAUUGAAAUGACCAAGAACUCCUCCCUCAUAAUCAACCGCUUCAGUAAGGCACCCUUCACCACCAAGGAAGGUCUCUGCUCGGCUCUGCACGACUUUCAUUGGUUCUACGAAGAAGGUAUGUCCGAAACGUACUUCCCAAGGUGUUACAACGUGUGGAACCCCGAGGAACUCAACGAAUUCAUCGACAACUUUCGUCUGACAGCUUCGAUGGGACUGCUCAAGUGGCUCGUUGACGUCCACACCAAAGAGGGCACCGAAGGAAUCCUCUCCGACGAGGGCAAAGUCCCCGGCAGUAGCAUCGCCUUCGCCCUGUCCCGCUGCAAAGAAUACCUCGACUACUGUCUUCACAACGACAUAGACAUCGAGGAAGAUAUCAAGAUCUGGGACCACGAUUGGGACGUCUUCCUAACCCAUCACUAUCUCCUAACCCAUGAAAACGGUCGCAUUCAACUGCUCAAAGAGCAUGACACCGCUCUUAUCGAGCAUUACGUGGCCGAUGCAAAGUCCGUGCUCGAGCAAAUCAAGUGCUACUGGCCGCAGUACGCACUGGACGGGUUCCUGAACAUCUGGAUCGUGAAGCCGGGCAACAAGUGCCGCGGCCGGGGGAUCCAUUUGAUGAACAACAUCAAGCAGAUCAUCGCGAUGGUUAAUCCGCCGAUUGUAAGCAAGACGCGAUAUGUGAUACAGAAGUACAUAGAGCGCCCUCUGAUCAUCCACAACACCAAGUUCGACAUCCGGCAGUGGUUCAUGAUAACGAGCGUCCAGCCGCUCAUCAUUUGGUUCUACAAGGAGAGCUACCUGCGCUUCAGCUCGCAGCAGUACAACCUGAUGAACUACCACGAGUCGGUGCACCUGACGAACCACGCGAUCCAAAAAAAGUAUCACAACGCCGUCCGGGACGAGCGCCUGCCGCACGAGAACAUGUGGGACUGCCACACCUUCCAGGCGUACCUGCGCCAGAUCGACAAGUACGAGAUGUGGUCCGAUCGGAUCUACCCGGGGAUGCAGAAGGCGGUCAUUGGCUCGCUGUUGGCAUGCCAGGACAACAUGGACCGGCGGCAGAACACGUUCGAGUUGUACGGGGCGGAUUUCAUGAUCACGGAGGACUUUUACCCGUGGCUGAUCGAGAUAAACUCGAGCCCGGACCUGGCGCCGAGCACGAGCGUGACGGCGCGGCUGUGUCCGCAGUGCGUCGAGGAUACGAUCCGGGUUGUGAUCGACCGGCGGCACGACCCGAACGCCAACACCGGCUCGUUCGAGAUGAUAUACAAGCAGGUGAUUCCGAAGACGCCCGCCUACAUGGGGCUGAACCUGCAGCUGCGUGGCCACCGGAUCACGCCCAAGAGCGCGGUCAAGAAGGACCGGCUGCGGAUCCUCCCGGUGAAACCCGUCCAGAACGUGCUCCACGUGUCCCGACUGUCCGCUUCGGCUGUCCCGAAGCCAACGGCGAGCCCCGUCAUUAUGGACCUCAUCGAGUGCAUCCAGUUCGACACAUCGCGACCUGCAGGCCAGGACGACGAGGACGGCGGCCGCGGUCGGACGUCGUCGUCGCUGUACCGCAAGGCGGGCUUCCAGCAGCAGCAGCAGCCGCGCCCCAACCUGCGGUACGACUUUGCCAAGAAAAAGUCCUACAUCAUCGCCAAGACGGACGAGUUCUUCCGGCGGGGCGGCAACGGCGCGCGAUACCUGGCCGAACCCGAGUCGUACAUUGACAACAUCGAAGACUGGGAGCGCGCCACGACGCGGUUCUUCCACAGCAACUACGGCAACACGCUGAGCGCGCUCACGGUGACCAGCCGCAGCCAUCCGAAGCCGGAAGCGGCGGACGGUUGUGCCGAAACAAACAACACUGCCCCAAGUGACCAUCAGAACAACCCGACCUCCACCACCGGAUACGGUAGAUACAGCAAACUGAUGCCAAACGGAGUUGCUGGUGGUGGCGGCAAGGUCGGGCUCGCGUCGACGUUCAACAACUUUUACACGCUGGGGUUGAACCUGCGGAAGCAACCGGCGGGGACUUCCGGCUCCUCCCGGGGCAGCCCCAAGAAUCGGGCGAGCGCCUAUUACGCACAAUCAACCGAAGAUUUAGUGGAACUAGGGAAAACUAGCUAAAGUUUAUGUCUGUUAUCAAGUGUUAUGAAGAGAUAUGUUGUUGGAGAUUCGGAAGAAGAAGACGAAGAUGUUAAGUGUGGAUCGAUCACAGUAGACGAGGGAGUAUGAAGUAACCACCCGCUGUUGCCAUAUUUGUUUGAUACGUGUCACAAAUUCCUGUUUUUAGUGUGUAGAAAGUGUCGCUGUUCUGUGCCCCGCUUUUCCGUGUACCUCUAGUUGGAUUAAUCCCUCAAAAUAUCAUAGUGCUUCGAAAUUACUUGUUGUGUAGAUAAUAUUUAAAAAAAAUCGUAUAGUCACGUUACGUUGAAGAAAAAAACCAACGACCAAAAAAAAAAAGAAAGAGAAUUAUAGUGAAAUUGUAGAGGCAAAAAUCAAA